rnacentral:tRNA from 1 species
UCCCCUGUAGCUCAGCUGGCAGAGCACUUGGCUGUUAACCAGGCUGUCCGUGGUUCGAGCCCGCGCGGGGGAGC